ensembl:miRNA
UUAAAGGACCCCCUUUGCUUUAACAUGGGGGUACCUGCUGCCUAGAAAAAGUAAGUGCUUCCAUGUUUCAGUCGUGGUGG